GCCCAAGAGAUCGGGAUAACACCUGGAAACAGAUGCUAAUACCGGAUAACAACAGAUGAUGCCUAUCAACUGUUUAAAAGAUGGUUCUGCUAUCACUCUUGGAUGGACCUGCGGUGCAUUAGCUAGUUGGUAGGGUAACGGCCUGCCAAGGCGAUGAUGCAUAGCCGAGUUGAGAGACUGAUCGGCCACAUUGGGACUGAGACACGGCCCAAACUCCUACGGGAGGCAGCAGUG
rnacentral:rRNA from 1 species